GUGGGGAUCAUCUUCACCACUGUACAGAUGAAGAAAUUGAAGGUCAGACAUUCAAGGUUAUGUGGCCACAUGAGAGAAAUACCAGAGCUGGGAUGAAGACUCAACGGCUCUCAGACACCAGGUUGCUUCUUGAGAGAAGCCGGAUGGAUGUGCAUGCAGGGAGGAGCUGGGGGAGGUUGGAGAAGCCGCAGCCCAGAAGGGGAGGGAGGACACCAUGUCAGAGCUUGCUGGAGCAAGCUUUGGAGGAAGGCCACAGGGGACAUUGUCACCAAGGGCCACGGCAGCGUGCACCCUGGGUUAGAGAAAGGGGCAAAUUAUGGAUAUGAAAAAUGCUUCCCUCAAUGAAAAGGACCCUGCUGAGACAGGAUGGCUGUGGGCCAAAUACCCCUACAGUGCCUGAUUCUUUUAUCUUAUUAUUUAUUUAAACAAGACCAGCAUUUUGCUUUAGAUAGAAAAUCUCUCUCUGCUACAAAAUUGCAAGCCCUGGGAAAAGUCUCCAAGAAUGGCUGAUGCCACAGUCAAACAAUAACAUACAUGUCGGGGUGAAACAGUGCACAGAGGAUGAAAAAAGGGAAAAGCUCGAGGCCCCGGGAGGAAGGAGCUGGGAGGGUGGAGGGCGUGGAGGUGUGAGGGCCCAGAGGGAUUGCCC
rnacentral:lncRNA from 1 species